rnacentral:rRNA from 1 species
UACGGAGGGUGCAAGCGUUAUCCGGAUUCACUGGGUUUAAAGGGUGCGUAGGAGGGCAGGUAAGUCAGUGGUGAAAUCUCCAAGCUUAACUUGGAAACUGCCGUUGAUACUAUCUGUCUUGAAUGUUGUGGAGGUGAGCGGAAUAUGUCAUGUAGCGGUGAAAUGCUUAGAUAUGACAUAGAACACCAAUUGCGAAGGCAGCUCACUACACAAUUAUUGACGCUGAGGCACGAAAGCGUGGGGAGCAAACAGG